rnacentral:lncRNA from 1 species
CCUAUAAUUUAGUCACAUGAAACAGUUUAACCUCAGACAAGUCAAACGAGAGCACGAAGAAGCAGCAAAGAGCGAGCCGGGGUCAGCAGGCGAGAGGAACAGUCACCUGGCCCGGACAGGGCCCAGCGACCCAGGCCCUUUAUUCCCGUCCCUCCGGGCCGUGCGCGGCCCCCACCCCGGCCCGGGGCUCCCACGCCGCCCCCCUCGGCCCGCCCCACGCCCGUGCCCAGGACUGGGGGUCACAACAGCGGGCAGACGCCGCGCGCGGGCAAGUUGGAGACUUACCUCCCCCGGAUGCGCUAGACCAUCAAUGGAGGAGAGAAAACGAGGCAGAGACAAUGUGGAAGACGAGCGAGCGGAGAGGAGUGGGGAGGCGGAGGCUGGGGCGAGACCCGAGCGGGGCGAGCGUCUCGGGCGAGCGGGAGGAAGAGGAGGCUGGGAGCGCGGGGGAAGGCUCGCGAGCGUCUGUGGGAGCAGCGGCGCCUCGGCGAUGGUGGCCGAGCCGCGGCGGGGCUGCUGCACGGACCCACCGCCCACUCCGCGCUCGGGCCCAGCCCACCUCGCAGUAUCGCGCCGCCCUAUUGGCGCGUCCCGGAGUGACGCGAGCGGAGGCAGGGCCAAUGGGAGGCGGAGGGCGGGUGGAAGGGCGGGACUUCUUUUCGCUCGCGCUCAGUCUUCUGUCUUUUUUUUUUUUUUUUCCCCCCUCUUUCUAAUAAAAUGA